UGAAUUCCCACAGCCUGAGAUCUGGUCUGGACCCAGCCCAGCACCGUUCACAGAGCUGCUGUUCCUCCCCGGGGCACACAAUGAAACAGCAGGGUCUGUAGGCAGAGAAUCCUGCCCCUUGAGAAGGGGGUAACCUGAGGGGAGGGAGAAUUCUCGUUUCCACUGGUCUCCUGCAAACCUUCCUCGGAUUGACUCUGCCUCGGUAUAUUCCUCUUCAAGGGAGAGAAGAAACGGAGCUCACCAUGGCCUCAGAGAGUGGAGCUGCUCUGUGGAGCCUUCUCCUCACCUUUGCUUUUCUCUUCUCCUGCUGUGAAGCCCAAGUGGAUCAGAGCCCCGAGUGGCUGAUUACAGGGGAAGGGAAGGUCUCCACCAUGUCCUGCUCUUUCACCAGCACUUACCGAACCUUCCAGUGGUACCAGCAGCUCCCUGGGCAAGGGCCGAUUCACCUGCUGACCGCGAGCUCUAAUGAGAAUGUCACUGUGGGGCGGUUCAUAGGUGAGCGCCUGGAAAGUGGGAAACUCAGCUCCCUGCACAUCACCGACUCUCAGCUGGGGGACUCAGGCAGCUACCUCUGUGCGGUGGAUGCACAGUGA